GUUCGUUGAGGGUUUUGAUCAUGUCCUUACACCUUCUUCCAUCAAUCGAAACGAUCGAAACGAAAUUCUUCCAGAUCCAUCGGGUAUAAAAAGGUAUGAUUUCCUUCACUCCAAAUCAUCUUCUACAUCUUUGAAUCACUUUUGCAAUCAAUCUUCAGGAAGAUCGUCAAAGGAUUUUGACAUGGUGGAGAUCGCUCCUCCUGCGUUUGCUUCGGGUUCGACAACUCUAGAAAUCCAAAAAGAAACAGAGCUUCUCAAACUUGGGAGUGUAGGCUUCCAUGGAGGUAACGUGAUUGUAGAUCGGAAUGACAUAAGCAGAUACUGGAGCGCUUCCCUAAAGAGUUGGACAACCCUUGAGUCAGUUAAUAUGCACAUUAAGAUAAUGCAAAGAUGAAUGUCUGAAGCUCAGUCUUCGGUUGCAAAAGCUGAGGAAGAUAAUGAUGAAAAGUAUGAACCAUCAUCUCAGGCUCUCAGCUAUCACAUUGCUUCUCAGGAAUUCAGAGUAGUUAUACCAAGACCUGAGUUUUUACCAAGCUCAUAUGUUCAAAGCACCUACGAUUACAGCCAAAAAUGGUUCUUCCUCUCCGUACGGUCUCAUGCUCAACUGACAUUGGCCUCCCACUGUGUCCUGUGAGUAUCAUUACCCAAGCAUCUGAUAUAUUAUCUUAAACCUUACUGUCUUGAAACUCCCAUGAGUCAACUAUAAUGUUUUGGUAAAUAAUUGAAGGUAAGUUAGAAUUUGUGCUGACAAAAAAAGUUAAAAUUUCUUUAUUUGGUUAUGAAGCUCUGUUUUUCUAUCCUCCAUUAUUUUUUGGGUCUACAGAUUUGGGCAUACCUGCAAAUUUGAUCACUCCAUGAGCUCUUCUUCUUCUUCACUAAGCUACAUCCCGAUGGUUUCUUCAGUCACUGAUAUGCCCCUCACGCCUUACCCUCUUGAGUACUCAUUGCUCAGCACAUUAGCUCUAUCAUCAUCAUCCUCAGAUGAAAACGCACAGGGCUUCACUCUCCGAGCUCCAAGUAAACUCAAAACCACAACACAAGUGGUGGCUCUGAACCGUUGCUGCUGAAGUCUCUCCGUCUUCUUCUUCGACCACCAGCCUGAGCCAUUCUGAUCCUGCUGAGACCAAAAAGAAGACUCAGUUAGCAUUGAGUUUAAGACUUCGAAGUUAAAGAUACGAAGCUCAAAGGGGAGAACCUCGCUCUAUUUUAAACCCAGGUUUCAGGACUGGUGUUGCGGUUCCUGUUGGUGUGCCAAGCAAAGACGAUGCCUUCAGGACUCAUCCGAUGAAAUUGCUGAACGAGAGGAAUCUCAAGGGUACUUUCUUUGGCAACUACAAACCCAAAACUGACAUUCCAGGGGUUGUCAAAAAAUACAUGAACAAGGAGUUGGAGCUUGAGAAGUUCUCACUCGCACAGUACCAUUUUGCUGAGAUCAACCGGGCCUUUGCUUACAUGUUGAAGAGAGAAAGCAUCCAUUGCAUCAUCAACAUGGGUGCUUGAAACCAACAUUCUCCUACCAAUAAUGUAUACUUUGUGUGAGUGUUUAGUAGACAUCUCUUAUUGCUUUUGUUUUUUAAAGUCUAAUAUAUUACCAUAUCGUUGUAAUAGUUUUCAUUCUAAUAAAAAAACAUUACAUUUCCCUUUAAGCGUGUGUGUAUUCAACAUUCAGAAUGCAAACGAACUAACCGUAGUGACUCAAAAGGUCUGCCUUUACCUGUUUUCUCACGGUUUACCCUAAUAUUAGCAACCCCCCCCCCUUCCCGAUGGAGUUGGAGCUUCAGAAGUUCUCACUCGCACAGUACCAUUUUCUGAGAUCAACAAAGCCUUUGCUUACAUGUUGAAGAGAGAAAGCAUCCAUUGCAUCAUCAACAUGGGUGCUUGAAACCAACAUUCUCCUACCAAUAAUGUAUACUUUGUGUGAGUGUUUAGUAGACAUCUCUUAUUGCUUUUGUUUUUUAAAGUCUAAUAUAUUACCAUAUCGUUGUAAUAGUUUUCAUUCUAAUAAAAAAACAUUACAUUUCCCUUUAAGCGUGUGUGUAUUCAACAUUCAGAAUGCAAACGAACUAACCGCAGCUCAUGUCUUCCACAUCGAAAGAAACAAGCCUGAAGAUACUGUCACCGUUGCAGGAAUGUACUCAACUAUCCCUUAUGCAAUCUCUCAAGUUAACCAUGCUCAAUACUCUUCUUCUGCCAUAUCUUAAAAAGAAGGUGAAGGAGAAGAACCUUUGUAACAUAGUGUUUGGAAGUUGUUGGAAUCAAGUAAUAUUUCUUUUAUUAUAUGGAUUGUUUCUGUUUGGUUAGUAACAACAACAAUAAUAACAGUUUAUGGUAACAAUAUUAUACUUUUGAUAGGAAAUAAUAUUUUCUUUCAAAAACUUAAAUGUACUAUGUACUAUUGUAAUAAACUAUCUUAUAUUCACCAAAUCUUUUAAAGAAUGUUAAAUACUUCAUAAAUAAUUUUUAAAAUUGAUUCAUUUCCAAUUCAAUUAAUUUAUUGACAUCAAUAUGUUAACAAAAAAAAUCAAAAUUCAUGUAUCAAAAUACAAAACAUAAAUUUAUCGUAACUUUUAAUAUUAUCAUGACAUCAUAUUUACAUACAAAAAACUAAAUUUAUAAAUAUUAUUAAAAGUCUAAAAAUAAAUUACAGAAAGUAUUAGAAUAAACGAAAAAAUCCAUCAUCCCAAAUUAAAAAUAAGCAGAGCUCGAAGACAUGAAAAAAAAAAUUAUAUUUAUGUUCAUCAUCUUUAUUUUUACUUGCUAUAUAUGGUUCAGUAAAAUAUAACCUUAUUUUAAAUAUUAAAAAUUACCCACAUUGGAACUACAAAACACAUUAAAAUGAUAGUAUUCAUUUACAAAAAAAAAACUACAAAAUAUUAAAUUAAAACUGUAAAAAUUAAGAAACUAAUAAAAAUAAAAAAAAUAGAACCAAACUAUUUAUGUAAUAGUAAACAAAUAUACCUUAGCUUCAUAAGUCGUAAAUUACUUAUGCAUCAAAGGUACCUUCUUUCAACUAGGCAGCAAUCUUAGACGAAUUGAAAUAUUCGAAAUGGAAUAUUAUACAUAUACAUUCAAGUGUUAAUUUAUAAUAUAAACAAUUAAUUUAAUUUUCAAUAUUUUAUUCGGCUUUUCAGUAUCAUAUUCAACCUAACAUAAUAAUGAAAUGCAAUGCAAUUAUGUAAUGUCCAAUCCAUUCAUACAAAUGAUAAUCAUGAAAACCACCAACAUAUUCUUGAGAGCCCAAAAUAUACUAACUGAUAAUUAACCAAUCAACUAUGGGUGUAAGCACUUAACAUGUGUUCUUCCUCGCAAAUGAUGCCAAUGUAAGUCUCAUAUGCUCAAGAGUUUGGUUAGGAAACUACCAGUGAGAGCAAAAGAAAUGUAACUUUAAAUAAGGGUUGUGUGGAUAUAUAUAAUUAUGAUUUAUAUCAAGACGUGAAAAAUGUUUUUGGAAUCAGUGGCUUACAUCUAUUUUUCUGCAGUUAUUGAAUUAAAGUUCCCGACAAAUUUGCUAAUGAGUGAUAUUGUUGCUUUCUUUAACAAUGAGAACCCUUCAGUCGAUGGUGUUAACCUUGCUUCUAAUGAUUGAUAUCAUCUUUUUCGUUUUGGAUCAUUGCUAUUAUUUUUUUUUCAGAUAUUAUUUGAGCUCUUGGUUAAAGGUGAAACUGCCCAAGGAAUGAUAAAAGAAAAAGACUUGGUUUAGGCAAAGUAUAUGCUAUUCAGAGAAAAGCUUACUCCGAGCCAUUUUGAAGGUUCAUUGAGAAUAUACUUCAGGCUUACCUUACUUUAAGAGAUUUUUUUUCUGUAUGUUUCUGAUAAUCGAUCAUGUCGAAAUAAAGUUAAUGGUUAUAAGAGUGGACUCUCAAUCCCCAACCCAAAUUGAGUAGUACCGAAGUAGAAAGUCACAAAUCAACAAUACCUAAACAAUACCUAUUAGAUAAAUAUAAACCCACUAAUUGUUAUAUUCUUACUAUAGAAAACAAGGUGUCCACCAAUAUAUUCUGCCAAAACUUCAAAGGCACCCUAACCAUAUUAUAGGAACCUUAAAAUUUCAAGAAAUCUCAUAACUAAACGUACUUUACAAUCAUGAUGACGUUUUUGUUCCCGAUACGAACCACUCACUACCCAAUCGGACAACCCAACAAAGCCAACCCAUUAUACAAAGCAUAAUCUAUAAUAUAAUGAGGGAGUUUCUCUCCUCCUGAGGUGACACGUCAGCACUUUUUAAAGGGGCCGAAUUUGUUUUCGUAUAAGAUUUACGUCGCCCUGGCUUUAACAACUAAAAUCUACUUGGCCCAGUGAUAUAACCCGCUCAUAAUAAAGCUUGAGUGUACGGGUUCGAAGUCCCCUGGCUUCCUUUUUAAUUUUUUUUACGUUGACGGAAAUCUUAUUAGGAUGACAUUCGUUAACGAAAAUCCAAAUACUGUCUUGAAUGGGCCUUUGACACCUAAUUUGUUUUUUGGUCUAAUAUACAUCAUCUUCUCGAAACAUGUUGGUCGAUCGAAUCUAGCCAUCUAGGUUUGACUGAUUCAUAGAGAGAAGCGCAGAUUGUUUGUUUCUGAUUCCAUGAAUCGUUUUAUAACUCUUUUCCUCUACGUCUCCCAUAUUUACUCCGUCAAUCAAUGCCAGUUCACGUUCGCUACACCUCCUCCAUUCCGCCUUAUAUAUACGUUAUCUUACGAGAGGAACCCAACGGCCCUCAUUCUCUCAACAAUUCUUCCUCCAAUAAAACUGUAUUUCACCUUCUCGAAAAUGAUUUCAUCCGCUGCUCCAGUUGCCAAAGCCGUCGUCUGCCACUCAACGUUAAAAAAAUGGCAAGUUCAUGGGAAUCAGCUUCUCUUCCUUGAUGACAGGAAUUCAGAGAUCCACGGCUUCAUCCCCGCUGGUCGUAGAUAUCAUCAAGGUUCAGUUCAUCAAUGUGUGGAACUGCGUUUUGAGAUAACUGGGUGCAUCACAUACUACUAAGGUUGAAGGAAAAAGGGAGUGUGUGUAAUCACAUCCCUCAAAUCCGCGAAGGAAGAUCUGGAGGCAUGACUCAGCAAGGAGAAUUUAUAAACUCUGAAGGAAGAGUUAACAGAGACUGAUACGAGAAACCCUGAGUUAUACAAGGAACUUCAGUCUGCGGAGUCAACUUGCAGCGGAACAGUCGAGGUGUUUCAAAUUAGAGGUUGCAGAGGUAAGACAAAAGAUUAAGACACACUUGAAAAUAAACUGGAACUCCUCCACCGUCAGAGAGCCGUUGCGUCUGACCAAGCCGCCGCCAAUAUGAAUGGAAAAAGACAAAGCUCUGGUAGCGUCUGGGGAUGGCUUGCUGGAACUCUUCCGCCAAAAGCAUGAAUCCCCCAUGAAGUUACGUUUUUUCCAGCACUUCUCUUUUUCAUUACCAGUCUCAUCUUUAAUAUAAUGGAUUCUAUAAGUAUACAUUCAUGAAACCUCACUGUUGGUCUUUAGUGUAGUUUAUAAAUCCAUAGGAGCCAAUUUAUACGUAAUGUACUGAAUAUAGUCUUUGUUAACAGGUGAGUGGAACUGGACAAAGCUACUCAAGAACUGAAGAGAUCAACAAUGCCUUUGCCAAUGAAGUCUCAUGGGACCGAUCUUCCAUGUCUUCUACUCAAGCACCAACACAUAGACCAAGUAAAAGAACAUAUGGUGCGAUCCAAACCGUUAAUUUCCUUUGCUUAAGGUUCUGUCUCAGUCAAUGGUAAGGUUUGCAGUUGAACUGUGGUAUUCAGGUUUUACUUCUUCUUUUUUUGUUAUUACAUUCAUGUUUAGUUUCUAGAAUGAGGGGGAAAAACAAAAUUGUGAAAAGAGACAAAAGAGCAAGAGCGUGUUCACAAGUCAAUAAAGAUUGACAUUUGGAAGAAUUUUUUUUUUUUUUCAAAGAGUAGUUAGUAAUCUUUAUAUUCUCUUCUCUUGGACUUUGUCUCUGCAAACAUAGUUUUAUCAUUUUAUGUAUGUGUAUAACAAGUCAUUUGCAAAUGUAAAUAUUAUUCUUUUCAAUUCUUUUUUCAGGAUUUACUUUAAAAAAGAAAUAAAGAGAUACACAUCAUA